UUAGACCUCAAAUCAGGUGGGACUACCCGCUNGACCUUAA
rnacentral:rRNA from 1 species